GGUAAUUUUUUUCUUUAUUUAUCAAGUUUGGUAAUUUGGUAAUUUAUUUUUCAAUUUGGUAACUUUUUCAAUUCGGUUUUACAUGUCAAAUAGGUCAAUAUUGGUUCUGAUUCCACAUUAGUAAGUGGACCGUAAGCGUUCCCUUUAAUAGAAAUACCAGGUAAUCCUGAAAGUUUGGCAAGGCGAAAGUUGUUCCAGCGUUCCUUGGCUACUAGAAUGGUGUGUUCUUUAACAAACUGCUUGAAAGUUUUGGGUGGUCCUACCUUUCCCUGUCAGUUCGUCAGCCUUUCAGUUACAAUACGUAUGUUCUUGUUCAAAAAGCUACGGCAUUCAGCGGGGCUUCACUCUGUCUAUGUGUGAGUCGAAAGCUUUCCUUCAAGCGUUGAAUUUUUGAUAUAUUU